rnacentral:rRNA from 1 species
AGUGGCGGACGGGUGAGUAACGCGUGAGAAUCUGCCUUGGGGUCGGGGACAACCACUGGAAACGGUGGCUAAUACCGGAUAAGCCGAUUGGUGAAAGAUUUAUUGCCCGAAGAGGAGCUCGCGUCUGAUUAGCUAGUUGGUGAGGUAAGAGCUCACCAAGGCAGCGAUCAGUAGCUGGUCUGAGAGGACGAUCAGCCACACUGGGACUGAGACACGGCCCAGACUCCUACGGGAGGCAGCAGUGGGGAAUUUUCCGCAAUGGGCGAAAGCCUGACGGAGCAAGACCGCGUGAGGGAGGAAGGCUCUUGGGUUGUAAACCUCUUUUCUCAGGGAAGAAGCUCUGACGGUACCUGAGGAAUCAGCCUCGGCUAACUCCGUGCCAGCAGCCGCGGUAAUACGGAGGAGGCAAGCGUUAUCCGGAAUUAUUGGGCGUAAAGCGUCCGCAGGUGGCGAUUCAAGUCGCUGUCAAAGCACGGGGCUUAACUCCGUAAAGGCAGUGGAAACUGAAUAGCUAGAGUGCCGUAGGGGUAGAGGGAAUUCCCGGUGUAGCGGUGAAAUGCGUAGAGAUCGGGAAGAACAUCGGUGGCGAAAGCGCUCUACUGGACGGCAACUGACACUCAGGGACGAAAGCUAGGGGAGCGAAUGGGAUUAGAUACCCC